rnacentral:tRNA from 1 species
AUUUCUGUAGUUGAGAACAACGAUGGUUUUUCAGACCAUAGGCCUUGGGUCAAACCGAGCAGAAAUU